AUGGUGUGCUCAGAACAGGGGGCCUGAAGAAAUGGCUCCUCUGUUUACAACACAUCCAGCAGGAAUCUGAGUUCAUUGUGACAAGGGGCACAAAACUUGGGGCUUUCCUGUGAACAAAUAACCCUGCAUGU
ensembl:snoRNA